rnacentral:rRNA from 1 species
CAAGUCGAACGGUAACGCGGGGCAACCUGGCGACGAGUGGCGAACGGGUGAGUAACGCAUCGGAACGUGCCCAGUAGUGGGGGAUAGCCCGGCGAAAGCCGGAUUAAUACCGCAUACGACCUAAGGGUGAAAGCGGGGGAUCGCAAGACCUUGCGCUAUUGGAGCGGCCGAUGUCAGAUUAGGUAGUUGGUGGGGUAAAGGCCUACCAAGCCUGCGAUCUGUAGCUGGUCUGAGAGGGCGACCAGCCACACUGGGACUGAGACACGGCCCAGACUCCUACGGGAGGCAGCAGUGGGGAAUUUUGGACAAUGGGGGAAACCCUGAUCCAGCCAUGCCGCGUGCGGGAAGAAGGCCUUCGGGUUGUAAACCGCUUUUGUCAGGGAAGAAAAGGCGCAGUUUAAUACAUUGCGACAAUGACGGUACCUGAAGAAUAAGCACCGGCUAACUACGUGCCAGCAGCCGCGGUAAUACGUAGGGUGCGAGCGUUAAUCGGAAUUACUGGGCGUAAAGCGUGCGCAGGCGGUUAUGCAAGACAGAUGUGAAAUCCCCGAGCUCAACUUGGGAACGGCAUUUGUGACUGCAUGGCUUGAGUGCGGCAGAGGGGGAUGGAAUUCCGCGUGUAUCAAAGAAAUGCGUA